rnacentral:lncRNA from 1 species
GCAACUUAUAACAACUCUUACGUAGCUACUACGUGAAGUAAGAAAUUAUAAUAAAAGAUCACUUAGAGAUAAAGAGGGACUGAGAAAUUAUGAAAGAAGUGACACUAAAAUCCAAAUGUAUAAUGUUUUUUUUUCUAGAAAUCUGUUGGAAAUCCUAUUGUGAGAGAGGGAUUAAAAGGGAGCAUGUUUGUUUUGUCUUCUUUGAGACCUGCACUGAAUUUAUUGAAUAUUCUGGUCUUUUCCUCUCCAGCCACUAUCUCCUUCAUUAGACCAUAAGGUAUGUCCUUUUUGAAAAGUAAUGGAGUCCAGUCAACUGAACUUCAUUGAUCUGCAAGGACUGCUGAAAAUUUAAAAACUUGCUAUGGGAUUCUGACAUGCCAGAAGCCACUAGAAAAAGGAUUUUGAUAUUCAGAACCUCAUUAAGAGGUUCCCCUCAUCUUUGGAUAGAGACCAAAAUGAUACUUUCAAGUCCUCAUCUUUGGAUAGAGACCAAAAUGAUACUUUCAAAAAGCCUGACAGGUUUCUCCGGAAAAGUGGCCAUCCAUGGAAUGAAUGAAAUGUUCCCUUUCUAUUCCAUAAUCGCUACCCCCAACAUGGGGCUAGAACCCAUGAUCCCGGAGAUUAAGAGGCGCACACUCUUCGCAUUGAGCCAAGCAGGCUCAUAACAAGAAAAUUUUAAAAGACGCCAUCGAUGAACGCGCCCCUAGGCCUUGUUCCCGGCUCCUCCAACUCUCCUCUUAGUCGUAGAAACACACCUGUCUCUAGAACCAGGUGUCCGCCUUGGCAUAAAACAAAGGCCCGGGGAAUCUGAGAGUUCCCGUUUCCCGCCAGGUAGGAAGGAGGGCCCUGGGAGUCCCUGGCCACCCCGGCCACCCCGGCCACCGCGACGCCCGGGCUCUCCGGCCGCGCACCCGCACCCCCGCUCGCUCGGCUCCCCGCCGCGCCGAGGUGACCGGCCGGGCCUCGCGGAGGGGGCGCGCCCCCCAGCGCCCCCCAGCGCCCCCGGCCUCCCAGCCCGCGUCCCUGCACCGACGCACCGCAGAGCGAGCCGAACCCGCCGGCCGUGCGCUCCCGCCGAGGAGCAGCGGGGGCCGGCGGCGCUCGGAC